UACGAAGGGGGCUAGCGUUGCUCGGAAUUACUGGGCGUAAAGCGCACGUAGGCGGCUUUCUAAGUCAGGGGUGAAAUCCUGGAGCUCAACUCCAGAACUGCCUUUGAUACUGGCGACCUUGAGUCCGGGAGAGGUGAGUGGAACUGCGAGUGUAGAGGUGAAAAUUCGUAGAUAUUCGCAAGAACACCAGUGGCGAAGGCGGCUCACUGGCCCGGUACUGACGCUGAGGUGCGAAAGCGUGGGGAGCAAACAGG
rnacentral:rRNA from 1 species